UACGUAGGGUGCGAGCGUUGUCCGGAAUUAUUGGGCGUAAAGCGCUUGUAGGCGGUCUGUCGCGUCUGCUGUGAAAAUCCGGGGCUCAACCCCGGACUUGCAGUGGGUACGGGCAGACUAGAGUGUGGUAGGGGAGACUGGAAUUCCUGGUGUAGCGGUGAAAUGCGCAGAUAUCAGGAGGAACACCAAUGGCGAAGGCAGGUCUCUGGAAAGUUCCUGACGCUGAGACACGAAAGCCAGGGGAGCAAACGGG
rnacentral:rRNA from 1 species